UGCAAGGGUGGUCUUUGCCUACACAUACAUGGAUGCAUGUAUCAAACCAGCAGGCUGGGACAACUGGGGGAAAACUGAAAACGAGAGAACUGCUUGCUUUUACGAGUACAAGUGUUUCGGGCCAGGGAGUUGCUCAAUGAAAAGGGUAUGUUGGGCAAGAGAAUUAGUAGAUGAAGAAGCUGAUGAGUUCAUUCUGCAUCGAUUUAUCGAUCCCGACGUUGAGAGGCCUUGGCUAUGCCUGAGGAUGGCACUGAGGAUACCAUUUUCUGCUUGAGAAUGGGAUAAUGUUGAAGCUUUCAAAACAAAAAUCAGGAAAAAUGUCAAGGUUUGAAAGUAGUCUCUAAAUCUUGAACAUUUCGUUGCUUGCUGGUGCCUUAGAGAAAGGAAAACCGAUACUAUAUGGUGG
rnacentral:misc_RNA from 1 species